GAGUUUGAUCCUGGCUCAGGAUGAACGCUGGCGGCGUGCUUAACACAUGCAAGUCGAGCGAAGCACUUAAGUUUGAUUCUUCGGAUGAAGACUUUUGUGACUGAGCGGCGGACGGGUGAGUAACGCGUGGGUAACCUGCCUUAUACAGGGGGAUAACAGUCAGAAAUGGCUGCUAAUACCGCAUAAGCGCACAGAGCUGCAUGGCUCAGUGUGAAAAACUCCGGUGGUAUAAGAUGGACCCGCGUUGGAUUAGCUAGUUGGUGGGGUAACGGCCCACCAAGGCGACGAUCCAUAGCCGGCCUGAGAGGGUGAACGGCCACAUUGGGACUGAGACACGGCCCAGACUCCUACGGGAGGCAGCAGUGGGGAAUAUUGCACAAUGGGGGAAACCCUGAUGCAGCGACGCCGCGUGAAGGAAGAAGUAUCUCGGUAUGUAAACUUCUAUCAGCAGGGAAGAUAGUGACGGUACCUGACUAAGAAGCCCCGGCUAACUACGUGCCAGCCGCCGCGGUAAUAC
rnacentral:rRNA from 1 species